rnacentral:tRNA from 1 species
GGUCGUUUAGCUCAGGAGGUUCCCGCUGAGUGCGCAGCAAGUUUGGGUCGCAGGUUCGAGCCCUGCAUCGACCA